rnacentral:tRNA from 1 species
AUCAGGUUAGUAGAAAUAUACGUCUAAUUUAGGUUUAGAAAAUAAAUUUAGUGUUUACUUGAUA